UAUACUUCUCGAUUAUAUAGUUAACUUGAUCAAUGUUAACAAACAAUCUUCAUUACAAGACCCGUGUCUCUACUCUAUACGAAGGACUUUCCUAGGACUAAUAUAAUUCACACAACCAACUUAAUCAUUGCCCUCCUUUAUUUACUGAACAACCUCCUAAUCUCACCAAGAUCAUUUGUGCUACCCCAAUUGAAAACACUUUACAGCAACCCAUUCCAUUCAAUGACCAGCCACGUGCUUCUCUCCUUGCACAAAAUGUCUAUCUUCUUCCCUCACGCAAAAGCCUACCUUUUCCUUCCCUGUCCAGGAGCAACACAGAUGCACGCCCUCACCUUCCAGUAGCAAGAAACGCUAUGACAGUACCUGCAACAAAGCUCACCAGUCCCUUUCCAUGGAAGCCUCGCGACCUCACCGUACAUCGCAAUAACUCACAGUCAACCGAUAGCAGCACCUACUCCCCUUUACUCACGCCCCGGCGUCGGGAACUGACCUCCAUUCCUGCCAGCAACAUGUGUGUAGGAGCUUGAAAGUUGUCCGCCACCGCCUUCUCAGCUUUUUAUGCACCAUCGACACAUCUCGUCGUGCAAGUGGACCUUGCCCCAAGGAGACGCCGCGCUGCCGGACUCGGAUACAUCGCUGCCGAACUUGAGAGGAUGCCACGAGCAGAGAGAGAGAGAGAGAGCAGCAGCUCAACGCCACCCUCGUGCACGUCCGACCAGCCAGGCCGCCCUCCGCAAUCCACGCCUGAGCCGUGCCCCACUGCAGGUCGAAUCGUCCUGCCAGCCUUGGAACUCCGCGACGUCGCUGUGCCGUCGUCGCCGCGCACAGUUCGCCGGCCAAGAUUUUUCUCGCCACGAACUGCCUUUGGCCGCCUGUAAAUUGAGUCGGGUGCUGCACCGUGACGCCUCACACCAUCCACAGCUCAUCGCCGUGCACACCAGCCACAGACCGAGCCCUUCUUCUUCCUCCAGCCGAAGAACAGAGUAUCGUCGAUCUCCUCGCCCAGGCCAUCUUGGUCCGAUUCCUCUCGAGAACCAAUUCCAGAGGAGAACCCGGAGGAGCCGGGAGAUCAGGAAGCCGCCUCCGCCGACACGUACGAAAGCGAAGGCAAGUCUCAUCGAUCCCUUACGUUGACCAUGAUUGAUCCUAAGUAAGGUUAAAUAUAAAAUUUGCUAGACUUAGGGAUUGCAUGAGAUGAUACACUGAGGGUAUGAGAGAAACCAUUGAUUGAAGUCAUGUUGCAUAUUGAUUUACUAUCAGACUUGAAUAUUAUCAGACCUUGUUAAUUGAUGAAACUGGAAUGGGAAUGAGACCAGGGCAGUGUGGAAUGUGUUGGUGCAUGCGCUACCGUGGUGGUAGACUUGCGACCGAGCUCUGUCGUGGUGACAUCUCGGGUUUGGUUGGUUAUGGUUGUUGGCUGCCCUGAUGAGUGUUGUGGUGCCAUCUCACCUAACCUACCUUCCUUAGUCUAAUCUCACUGGCUAACCUGGUAGUCGUGCGAGGUGGAUAUGUUUUGGGGUGAGACCUGAAUUGGUCCAAACCCGGGGAUUUGUGGACGACUAGUCGGGGUUGGGCCACGGCUGGGUGUCGGCUAUGACGGAGCCGUCUCUGGACGGUGAAGUGCGUGUGGGUAAAGCGUACAACCUCUACAGAGUGUACAAUCCAUUCGAAUGGUCAGUGUCCUCGGUUUGGACAGGUUACGGUGUGGACAUCUCAACUAGUUGAGCCACCUAGCCUAUGAGAUGGAUGACUGUUUGGGUUACCUUUAAUACCACAUUUGUUAUAUAUUCUGGUUGAUUAAUGGACCUUUGAAUAUUAAUCUGUAACUCCCUCCCCGUAAGGGUGAGGUGGGACUUGCUGAGUACUUUCGUACUUAACCCUUGUUGAUUAUUUUUUUCAGAGGAUCCUGACUUUGUGCCUGAAGAUUACGAGUAGAUCGUGUCCGCACCCAAGCUAAUCGAGUGGAGCCGUGAUGGACGAAGAGCUAGUCUUGCAUGUCGUUAUGCUAAUCGUUAUCCUAUGGCUAUUUGCGGUAGCUUGGUGUUUGUCACUUUACUCCUCGUGUAUGUGUUGAAUAAAGUUCUGUAUGACUUUAGACUCCACUUGAUGUAACAUGUAUUAUACCGGGGACUUGCUUCGGUUAUUAAUACAUGGUUUAGCCUCGAUCUUUGGGUUGGGGCGCUUCAUAUUUGGACGUGAAUACGUUAAUUGGAGAAGGCUCACGUCCCAUCC